UACGUAGGGUGCGAGCGUUGUCCGGAAUUAUUGGGCGUAAAGGGCUCGUAGGUGGUUUGUCGCGUUGUUCGUGAAAACUCACAGCUCAACUGUGGGCGUGCGGGCGAUACGGGCAGACUUGAGUACUGCAGGGGAGACUGGAAUUCCUGGUGUAGCGGUGGAAUGCGCAGAUAUCAGGAGGAACACCGGUGGCGAAGGCGGGUCUCUGGGCAGUAACUGACGCUGAGGAGCGAAAGCGUGGGGAGCGAACAGG
rnacentral:rRNA from 1 species